AAAACUAUAGCUUAACAAAAAGCAUUCAGCUUACACCUGAAAGAUGUCUAUUAAAUACGAGACUAUUUUGA